rnacentral:rRNA from 1 species
UGUUCCUACGGGGCGCAGCAGUGGGGAAUAUUGCACAAUGGGGGAAACCCUGAUGCAGCGACGCCGCGUGAGGGAAGAAGUAUUUCGGUAUGUAAAGCUCUAUCAGCAGGGAAGAAAAAAGACGGUACCUGACUAAGAAGCCCCGGCUAACUACGUGCCAGCAGCCGCGGUAAUACGGAGGGGGCAAGCGUUAUCCGGAUUUACUGGGUGUAAAGGGAGCGUAGACGGUGCGCCAAGUCUGGAGUGAAAUGCCGCAGCUUAACUGCGGAACUGCUGUGGAAACUGGCGGACUAGAGUGCGGGAGG